CGAUACAUACCAAGUGCCGAUACCUUGAGUUACUUUUGAUAUUUUAAAAUUUUAAUUCAACACAAGGAUGGAAAAAAAUGUGAACAAAGUUUUUUUUUUUUCCUUUUUUUUGGGAAGUAUCGGUGGCCAGUAUCCACACCCUCCGUCGAUUCUCCAUACAUACCAAGUGCCGAUACAUACCAAGUGCCGAUACCUUGAGUUACUUUUGAUAUUUUACAAUUUUAAUUCAACACAAGGCUGGAAAAAAUGUGAACAAAUUUUUUUUUUCAGUAUCGGCGGCUGGUAUCCACACA